UAGUAAAGAACGGGAGAGACCCUGUGCUACUCGUCUAUCGACUCGAGUGCAGGGCGCCGAAGGGGAUAAAACUCUCAGGCAAAAGUACCGUUUAAUUGUU
rnacentral:ncRNA from 2 species